CGGAAGUAAUACGGGAAAGCAUUAGGCAGCACUUCAAAAAUAUUAUGGAGACAUAUCCGUUAGAACAAGUCGAACAAUUUGUGGAUGUGGUAGAGGAGAUGGCAGAACUACCAGAAGAAUUACAAUACGAUCAUUACAAACGAGGAGUCGAAAGAAUUUUUGGUAUACAGAUGGGACAUUGAUCGCGCAGUAGAAAUCGAGGUUUUAAUAAGUACACCUCAUCGAUCUACCAGAUAGCUAUGUUUCGAAUAUUACGCGAGUUUUCUCAAAUCGAAAAAUUACUAAAUCCGAAUUUUGUGAUGAUACUAGCUUGUAUUUCUAUUCAGGUUAAUUUCUCGUUUUACUUUCUGCAUCAAUUUUGUUUGUAGUAAAUUUUUUUGGAAAAAUCGU